CGGGGCGUAGCGCAGCCCGGUAGCGCGCCUGCUUUGGGAGCAGGAGGUCGUGGGUUCGAAUCCCGCCGCCCCGA
rnacentral:tRNA from 2 species